UGAAGGAGUGUAGGGAAGCAGAUAAGCUGGCCAAAGAAGGCUCGGCGACUCAGGCAAACGGGCCAGAACCGUACCUUCCGAUUCCCCAGUCAGAGUGUAAAAGAGCACUGGAAGACUGGGCUAAGCGUAAACACGCAGAACGCUGGGAAGCGUAUAACGGAGGCGUUCACACGAAAUGCUUCUUCCCUAAGCCUAACAAAAAAUGGGCCAAAGAUUUGCUCAAAAUGGACCGAAA